rnacentral:rRNA from 1 species
CAUAGCUUCUUGUUUAUUAUAAGAAGUGACGCCUGCCCAGUGAUUUUUUUAACGGCCGCGGUAUUUUGACCGUGCUAAGGUAGCAUAAUAAUUUGUUUUUUAAAUAAAAACUAGUAUGAAUGACUUCACAUUUUCUAACUGUCUCUCUUUACUUUCCUUUAAAUUUCUAUUUCCGUGAAGAAGCGGAAAUAAUAUUGUAAGACGAGAAGACCCUGUCGAGCUUUAGCCAAAUUAAGAUUUAUAUAUUUCUUAAAUAAGCUUUGGUUGGGGUAACCAUGGAGUAAAAUAAACCUCCAGAAACUAUAAGACGAAAUAUUUUUCUCUUAACUUAAAAUUGAACCAAUUUUUUUUGGUAGCCAGAAAUAGUUACCGCAGGGAUAACAGCGUAAUCUUCUUUAAGAGCCCAUAUUGACAAGAAGGUUUGCGACCUCGAUGUUGGAUUGGGGCCCCCAAAAAGUGCAGCCGCUUUUUAAGGUUGGACUGUUCGUCCAUUAAAGCCCUACGUGAUC